GUUCACCACAUCAUCCACCUCUACAAUCAAACACAGAGAACAUCUGAUACCCACCUCAACUUGUACCAGAAAAACAAGCACCUAAAAAGGUCUGCCUUUGACCUCUACAGGAAUCUUGCUGGGCUAUUAUGGUAGACCAAAGAACAAAAACGUCUGGAGGAAGGAAGUCCUUACUGCCUCCUGCUUACAAGAGUCAAAGCAAGAGUGUGAAGGGGUUGUAUAUGUAGUUUAUCUGAUUGACUUUGGACUGCAGUCCUUUCUGCCCCCACAGUGGGCACAUACCCCUGCUAGGUACCACAAUUUAGUCACUACUAUUCACGGAGGGAGCUGCAGUGACAAUUCUUCCUCACCUGGGAAACAUGAAGCACAGCUCCAAAAUUCACAUCAAGAGACCUACAAAUAAAUCAAAUUUAAGUUACGGAGUGGUUGUAGCCCAGCCCAGGGAGCUGUUUUGGGAGCCAGCAGAGGACAAGUGGCGCUGGUCUCUUGGCAACACUGGUGAUACUCGAGGGCAUGGACAGAAAUGCCAAGUUGUCAGGUGAGCCAGAAUGGUCAGGUGGGAUCUCAGCAAUGAACCAAACUGUCCACUGGCUGCAAGCCUGGCAGUGUGUGGGGAGGUGAAGGCAAUCAUCACAUACAUUUUUCACAGGACUCUGCUCUUACGCAGCCUAAUGGAAUUCCUCUGUCAAAGAUUAAAUAGAGCUCUGGGUCUCAGCCAGGGUAGAUGACUCUUAGGUCAAGCAAACACUUCACACACAUCUAUAAUGCAAAGCUGCUGUAAGGUGGGUAGAGGCAGCACUUCUAUUUGCCAAAAUGUGCUUCCUUUGUCUGGCUUCCACCUGCCAGUUCUGUAGAAUGAUCUCAGUAGAAUCCAUACAGUUUAUGUUCUAGUCACAAACCUUUAUUGCAGAUUCUCAACACCCAUUUUUAACAGAGGGACACAGCAUGACCCAUAUUCUCAGAAGGACGUGGACUCAAUAUAGCCUGUAUCCUAAAGCGUACUCACAACAAAGCUAUGGAGCUUUUCAGAGAAAAAAGAUGUCAUGUUAUUGUAGUUAGCAAAUUUAAUUUCCCACCAUGACCAUUUUUUACUUCCUUA